UACGGAAGGCAGCAGUGGGGAAUAUUGCACAAUGGGCGAAAGCCUGAUGCAGCUAUGCCGCGUGUAUGAAGAAGGCCUUAGGGUUGUAAAGUACUUUCAUCGGGGAGGAAAAACAAAACUAAUAAUUUUAUUUCUUGACGUUACCCGAAAAAGAAGCACCGGCUAACUCCGUGCCAGCAGCCGCGGUAAUACGGAGGGUGCUAGCGUUAAUCAGAAUUACUGGGCGUAAAGAGCACGUAGGUGGUUUUUUUAAAGUCAGAUGUGAAAUCCCUGGGCUUAACCUAGGAACUGCAUUUUGAAACUGAAAUACUAGAGUAUCGUAGAGGGAGGUAGAAUUCUAGGUGUAGCGGUGAAAUGCGUAGAUAUCUGAAGGAAUACCUGUGGCGAAAGCGGCCUCCUAAACGAAUACUGACACUGAGGUGCGAAAGCGUGGGGAGCAAACAGGGAUUAGAUACC
rnacentral:rRNA from 1 species